UGUAAGUAGAAUGAAAAAUAAUGAAGAGAAGUCUGACCUUAAAAAAUAUCUACAACAUUUUAUUCUUGCUUGAAAACCUCCUAUAAAUAGGAUGCAUUUCUUUAUUUUUGAACAAAUUAAAAUACAUAAUUAAAAGCAUUAAGAGGGAGAGAAUGGCAAAACAAGAAGUUGCAUAUAUUAUGGUUCAACAAAUUUUGAGCAUAAUAUGCUUGAUUUUAAUAUCGAAUUUAGGGGCAAUGGCAGUGGAUCCUUCAAAUAUACCACAUUGCUUGGGACCUUGUUCAACAAUUGAAAACUGUUUCCAUGACUGUGUUGCCCAAGGUUUCUCCAAGGGAGGUACCUGCAUAGGAAUUAGGCUAGCAUAUAUGGAUUGUUGUUGCAAAUGGAGUUGAAAUCCACCCUUUUUCCCAUUAAUGUCUUAUCUCCAUCUUCAUAACUUGUUCUUGAGAUUUUAUCAAUUAAUAAAGUGAUCUACAUUAUAUUUGUUUAUCA